rnacentral:misc_RNA from 1 species
GUCUCUGACUUUUGAAAGGGUCGUGCACACCUCGGAGCUCUCGCACACAAUCCAUCUCACCCCUUUUGUGAAUCACCGCGUGGAAACCCCUUUUGGCUAGUUCCGAGGGGGGCUUUUCACGUUUUUACACAGACACCCUUUUAAUGCAAUGUGUAGAAUGUCUUACUUUUUGCGAUCACACGCAAUCAAUACAACUUUCAACAACGGAUCUCUUGGCUCUCGCAUCGAUGAAGAACGCAGCGAAAUGCGAUACGUAAUGUGAAUUGCAGAAUUCAGUGAAUCAUCGAAUCUUUGAACGCACCUUGCGCCCUUUGGCAUUCCGAAGGGCACACCCGUUUGAGUGUCGUGACAUCCUCAAAACCUUCUUGGUUUCUUGACCUGUUAGUCUUUGGACUUUGGACCCUUUUUUUUUUUUUUGGGGGGGGGGGACCCCCCCCCCCCUGAAAUGAAUUAGUGGGGUCUGCUUUGCUGAUCCUUGACGUGAUAAGAUGUUUUCUACGUCUUGGGUUUCGCAACGUUCCCGCUUCUAACCGUCUCAUAGAAGACAACGGUCAAGUGAUCGCCACUUGACCCACAAACCCUUGACCUCAAAUCGGGUGAGACUACCCGCUGAACUUAAGCAUAUCAAUAAGCGGAGG